rnacentral:tRNA from 2 species
GCACCAGUAGCUCAAUGGAUAGAGCACUCGACUUCGGAUCGAGUGGUUGCGGGUUCAAGUCCUGCCUGGUGCG